rnacentral:lncRNA from 1 species
GGGCUCGUUGGACUCUGUUCGUCAUCGCGGACCUCAUCGUUGACUCAAUGUGGACCAAAUCUCAAGAUGUCAAAUUUUAAUAAUUUAUAUAUAUUUUUUUGGUGCUUCGGAUCAUUUCGCAAGUUCAAAUGUUCCUAAACUUAUGCUUUCAAUGUCUACUAGGGUUUCUACGUCUCUAUUACUGAAAUCUUACAGCACAGCUACUUCAGUGUGGUUUACUUAUUGGGGUUCUAUGUGCAGUCGAAUUAUUAUGCUCGCC